GGAGCGUUAGGUCGGAGUUGAGAA
rnacentral:siRNA from 1 species